AGUCUUAUAGUCAAAAAAUAGUAUGAUUUCAAAUUGCAAAUUUGAAGACGGGUUCAGCCCUAAGGCUU
rnacentral:tRNA from 1 species